AUUGAACGCUGGCGGCAUGCCUUACACAUGCAAGUCGAACGGUAACAGGUCUUCGGAUGCUGACGAGUGGCGAACGGGUGAGUAAUACAUCGGAACGUGCCCGAUCGUGAGGGAUAACGAAGCGAAAGCUUUGCUAAUACCGCAUACGAUCUACGGAUGAAAGCAGGGGACCGCAAGGCCUUGCGCGAACGGAGCGGCCGAUGGCAGAUUAGGUAGUUGGUGGGAUAAAAGCUUACCAAGCCGACGAUCCGUAGCUGGUCUGAGAGGACGACCAGCCACACUGGGACUGAGACACGGCCCAGACUCCUACGGGAGGCAGCAGUGGGGAAUUUUGGACAAUGGGCGAAAGCCUGAUCCAGCCAUGCCGCGUGCAGGAUGAAGGCCUUCGGGUUGUAAACUGCUUUUGUACGGAACGAAAAGACUCUGGUUAAUACCUGGGGUCCAUGACGGUACCGUAAGAAUAAGCACCGGCUAACUACGUGCCAGCAGCCGCGGUAAUAC
rnacentral:rRNA from 1 species